rnacentral:lncRNA from 10 species
CAAGACUCUACUGAUGACACAUUCGGAGUUGUCAGAGGUAAUUCUCAGUAUAACAGCAAGAGAUUGACUAAGUAGUUCUCCAUCAAGACAUUUCUUAUUGUCUCCUAAGUAAAGCUCCAGUGCCACCGGUGAUAUUUUCCAAAGAGGUACACACAUUGAUCUCUGAAGUUUGGGAUUUACCAGGCAGAUGCUUCCCCUCCCACACUUUUGGGUACCCAUCUGAAGAGUGAUUCCUUUCAUACACCCAACACUUGAGCUUCACUAUCCAGUGUGCCGAUUUCAUAUGCGUUGCCACGUACUUUCAAAUAAGUACUUCUUUACUGCCUAGACCAGAGCCAGGUUUAUUCCAUCAAAUUCCCAGGAUAUUUUUUAAGUGGAGAAGAGUUUCCAUGUGCAAUAUAUUUUCAGUUUCAUGAGUUCAGCUUGAUGGUGCCAAUUCCAGGAAAAAUUGCCUGUUCACAAGCAGGUAUCAUUAUGGAUUCAAUGGUAAUGGCAUUCUCAGCUAUAUAAAAAGCCAGCAAAUUGUGAUUUCUGAACUGACCAACUUGGAUAAUGAACAGAACCUUCAUUCUGGCCAGGAACCUGAGACAGCCUGUGACACAGCGGAUUUUUUCAGCUUCGAGCACUGGGAACCUCCAGCAAUGCCUGUCCCACCGGCAGGAGGUGUCUGGAAUGAGUCCUGCUGACCCAGAGCAGAUGUGAGUCACAUUUGGGGCCACCAAUGCAACGAGAUCAGAAGACAUCAAAUAUCCAUCUAUGUGAAGAGAAUGAACAAAAGUGUUUCACACACCUGUUCCCUGACUGUCUUUCUGGACUAUAUGGAGGCUCCAUCCCCAGCAGUGGAUGUGGCUUCCUCCUCCAACCUCCUGAGAAGUAGAAAUGGCAUGAGUGUUUUAUGCACACUUUAAUACUCUGCAGGGUCAGCUCGGACUUGGAAAGAUGCUUCGGAAAUCAACAUGCGAAGGAACACUCCACGCCAAUAGGAAUGAGAGUUACAUUUAUGCUCUAUAAAAUAAGGCAUCUCCCAAUUUAUUUACCCUGGCAUGAUUAUUUAUCUGGCAUUAUAUUGCAGCGGUAAUCCAGGGAGUUGCUUUGUAGUUACUCUGUUACUGCUCUUGUUUUGCAGUAACUCUGUAAAUAACUUGUGUCACCCCUUCUAUGUCCCAGUUCCAGAUGGAAGAUAAGACGUUAUUUCUGCUUCAGUGCAAAAUCUUAACAGCUGAUGUAAGGAGGUGUUCAGAUUCCUAUCUAAAUUACAUGCCAGAUAUUCUGCAUUAGCAUUGUUAGGCGGGUUAUUUAUCUACAACCUGAAUAUAUUUCCAGGAUAUCAAAUGAUGACUUACAAGCUAUCUCCUGUGAUGUGAUGUGCAAGCGUAGAGCAAUGUAAGAAAAAUUUUAAAACCCCUCCAUGGAUGAUCUUAGCUUAGAAAAACUGAUUCAACAUUGUUCUAUUUACCUUAAUUAACACAAAUCUUAGCCAUAUUUGUUUAUAACACUGUGUUAGUGACUAAAUAAAACCAUUAUGAAGCUGCCUACAAGGCCACUGGGUAUGCAAGGAAAACUACACAGUCAUUACUACCCAGUAGAGGGCAAACACAUUGUAUUUUAUUGCUAAUUUGGACCAAAUCCCUGUAAUUUGGUGUUUAAAGAUUGUGCAUGGGUUAUGAGCAUACAGUUGUUGAAUAAAUGUACCAUGGUAUGUUUUUAACAUCUGUGGAGAUUUUGAUGGAAUAAUAGUCUCCUUUCUGUAUAGCUUAAUGUAAUAUAUUAUGUAUUUGGAAAUUUGAGCAAGGUACACUAUUUGGAAAAGAAAUCACAAAAGAAGAUUUGCUUGUGCUGUCUAGAACUCCCUUACAUUGCUAGACUCUAGAAAGGAAGAGCAGGAUUAAAACAAAACAAAACAAAAAACCUACAUUCAGGUGAAGAAAUGUUUUUUUCCACGUGAUCUUUGGUUUCCCUUUGUUAGGAAUAAAGCUCUUCAUCUCUCCCCCACUCCGAGGUUGCUUUUCCUCCAAGUGGAAGGUAGUUUGGGCCAAUAUGUUGUGUUAUUCCAUUAGUUUAUGUUUUAAGACUAAGAA